rnacentral:rRNA from 1 species
UACGUAGGGGGCAAGCGUUGUCCGGAUUUAUUGGGCGUAAAGAGCGUGUAGGCGGCCAGACAGGUCCGUUGUGAAAACUCGAGGCUCAACCUCGAGAUGUCGAUGGAAACCGUCUGGCUAGAGUCCGGAAGAGGAGUGUGGAAUUCCUGGUGUAGCGGUGGAAAUGCGCAGAUAUCAGGAGGAACACCGGUGGCGAAGGCGGGUCUCUGGGCAGUAACUGACGCUGAGGAGCGAAAGCAUGGGGAGCGAACAGG